GCAGCCUGAUCCAGCCAUGCCGCGUGAGUGAUGAAGGCCUUAGGGUUGUAAAGCUCUUUCGCCGGUGAAGAUAAUGACGGUAACCGGAAAAGAAGCCCCGGCUAACUUCGUGCCAGCAGCCGCGGUAAUA
rnacentral:rRNA from 1 species